AUGCUCGCAUCAGCAGCACAUAUGCUAAAAGCGGAAUGAUGCAGAGUGGAUUGCAUGGCCCCUGCACAAAGAUGACAUGCAGAUUCACGAAGCAUUCCAUGUUGAG